rnacentral:misc_RNA from 1 species
GCAAACUUGGUCAUUUAGAGGAAGUAAAAGUCGUAACAAGGUUUCCGUAGGUGAACCUGCGGAAGGAUCAUUACUAAAAGAUUCUCAAACUUUUACACACCCACUGUGAACUGUUCAUCGUCUGUAUGAGUGUUUGUGUGGUGUGGUGUGGUGUGGUGUGGUGUGGUGUGUGUGCGUGUGUGUGUGUGUGCGUUUUUUAAAACCCCCACACCCCAUACCCAUACCCCCCCCCACUACUAACAUUCACACAGGCCCAUGGUUUUUAACUUACCCUUAAGUUUACAUCUCUAGUCUUUUAAAAAUUUUUUUGGUUAAACAAAAAAAAAUAAAUUAUAUACAACUUUCAGCAACGGAUCUCUAGGCUCUUGCAUCGAUGAAGAACGCAGC